ACGAACGCUGGCGGCGUGCCUAAUCCAUGCAAGUAGAACGCACAGUUUAUACUGUAGCUUGCUACACCAUAGACUGUGAGUUGCGAACGGGUUAGUAACGCGUAGGUAACCUGCCUGGUAGCGGGGGAUAACUAUUGGAAACGAUAGCUAAUACCGCAUAAUAUUAAUUAUUGCAUGAUAAUUAAUUGAAAGGUGCAAUUGCACCACUACCAGAUGGACCUGCGUUGUAUUAGCUAGUAGGUAAGGUAACGGCUCACCUAGGCGACGAUACAUAGCCGACCUGAGAGGGUGAUCGGCGACACUGGGAAUGGGACACGGACCAGACUCCUAAGGGAAGCAGCAGUAGGGAAAUGUGGGCGAUGGACGAAAGUCUGACCGAGCAACGCCGCGUGAGUGAAGAAGGGUGUCGGAUAGUAAAGCUCUGUUGUAAGAGAAGAACGGGUAUGAGAGUGGAAAGUUCACACUGUGACGGUAGCUUACCAGAAAGGGACGGCUAACUACGUG
rnacentral:rRNA from 1 species